rnacentral:rRNA from 1 species
AGCGAACGCUGGCGGCAGGCCUAACACAUGCAAGUCGAACGAACCUUUCGGGGUUAGUGGCGGACGGGUGAGUAACACGUGGGAACGUGCCUUUAGGGUCGGAAUAACUCAGGGAAACUUGUGCUAAUACCGAAUGUGCCCUUCGGGGGAAAGAUUAAUCGCCUUUAGAGCGGCCCGCGUCUGGUUAGCUAGUUGGUUGAGGUAAUGGCUCACCAAGGCGAGGAUCAGUAGCUGGUCUGGGAGGAUGAUCGGCCACAUUGGGAAUGAGACACGGCCCAAACUCCUACGGGAGGCAGCAGUGGGGAAUCUUGCGCAAUGGGCGAAAGACUGACGCAGCCAUGCCGGGUGAAUGAUGAAGGUCUUAGGAUUGUAAAAUUCUUUCACCGGUGACGAUAAUGACGGUACCCGGAGAAGAAGCCCCGGCUAACUUCGUG